UACGUAGGGUGCAAGCGUUGUCCGGAAUUAUUGGGCGUAAAGAGCUCGUAGGCGGUUUGUCGCGUCGGCUGUGAAAACGCGAGGCUCAACCUCGCGCCUGCAGUGGGUACGGGCAGACUAGAGUGCGGUAGGGGAGAUUGGAAUUCCUGGUGUAGCGGUGGAAUGCGCAGAUAUCAGGAGGAACACCGAUGGCGAGGGCAGAUCUCUGGGCCGUAACUGACGCUGAGGAGCGAAAGCGUGGGGAGCGAACAGG
rnacentral:rRNA from 1 species